rnacentral:rRNA from 1 species
CACUUCUAAGGAAGGCAGCAGGCGCGCAAAUUACCCAAUCCUGACUCAGGGAGGUAGUGACAAGAAAUAACAAUAAACCGGCUUAUGCCGGUUUAAUUGGAAUGAGUACAAUUUAAACAUCUUAACGAGGAACAAUUGGAGGGCAAGUCUGGUGCCAGCAGCCGCGGUAAUUCCAGCUCCAAUAGCGUAUACUAAAGUUGUUGCAGUUAAAAAGCUCGUAGUUGGAUUUCUGUGGGGACGGAGCGGCCGGCCGCAACACGCGGUUCGAGCUAGCGCUUUCCCUACAUCCUGCCGCGAACCGUGCUACCAUUAGUUUGGUGGCGCCGGGGAUCGGCUCGAUUACUUUGAGAAAAAUAGAGUGUUCAAAGCAGGCCACACGCCUUGAAUAAGUUAGCAUGGAAUAAUAACUAAGGACUUCGGUUCUAUUUUGUUGGUGUUCGGGACUGAAGUAAUGAUUGAUAGGGACAGUUGGGGCGGUCUGUAUUCCAAAGCGAGAGGUGAAAUUCUUAGACCUUCGGAAGACAAACAGCUGCGAAAGCGUUCCGCAAGGAUGUUCCCUUUGAUCAAGAACGAAAGUUGGGGGAUCGAAGACGAUCAGAUACCGUCGUAGUCUCAACUAUAAACUAUACCAGCUAGGGAUCGGCCAACGUUAUUUGAUACCGACUUGGUCGGCACCUUAUGAGAAAUCAAAGCAUCUGGGUUCCGGGGGGAGUAUGGUCGCAAGGCUGAAACUUAAAGGAAUUGACGGAAGGGCACCACCAGCCGUGGAGCCUGUGGCUUAAUUUGACUCAACACGGGAAAACUUACCAGGUCCAGACAUAGUAAGGAUUGACAGAUUGAUAGCUCUUUCUUGAUUCUGUGGGUGGUGGUGCAUGGCCGUUCUUAGUUGGUGGAGUGAUUUGUCUGGUUAAUUCCGUUAACGAACGAGACCCCAGCCUGCUAAAUAGCGCGCGUGAGCUUUGCUCGCGGCGAGCUUCUUAGAGGGACUCUGAUGCGCGAUAGCACAUGGAAGUUUGGGGCAAUAACAGGUCUGUGAUGCCCUUAGAUGUUCUGGGCCGCACACGGGCUACACUGGCGCCUGCAACGAGCAUAUCAGCUGGCCCGAGAGGGUCUUGGCUAAUCUUUUGAACCGGCGCCGUGCUUGGGAUUGACCUUUGCAAUUGUUGGUCAUGCAACGAGGAAUGCCUUGUAAACGCGAGUCAUCAGCUCGCAUUGAAUACGUCCCUGCCCUUUGUACACACCGCCCGUCGCUCCUACCGAUGAAUGUUCCGAUGAAAUUUUCGGAGAGUGCCUGUGAACUUGGCUCUGCCUUGCGAACGGGAAGCCCAAAGUCACUUAAAUCUGAACAUUUCGAGG